rnacentral:rRNA from 1 species
CAGACUGCUCAGUAACGCGUGGUCAACUUACCCUAUGGAGGGGUACAACCUCGGGAAACUGAGGACGAUGCCCCAUAGUUGAGAAGGCUUGGAACAGUUUCUCAUCGAAAGAAUGUCAUAAAUGGUUGACUUUUCGCCAUAGGAUAGGACCGCGUUCGAUUAUGGUAGUUGGUGAGGUAACGGCUCACCAAGCCUAUAAUCGAUAAGGGCCGUGAGAGCGGUAGCCCUGAGAUGGGUACUGAGACAAGGACCCAGGCCCUACGGGGUGCAGCAGGCGCGAAACCUUCGCAAUGCGCGAAAGCGUGACGAGGCUACCCGGAGUGCUUUCUGAAGAAGAAAGCUGUUGUCAGUGUUUAACUAGCCUGACGAGUAAGGAGAGGGCAAGGCUGGUGCCAGCCGCCGCGGUAAAACCAGCUCUUCAAGUUGUCGGGACGAUUACUGGGCUUAAAGAGUCCGUAGCCGGUUUAGCAAGUCCUUGGUAAAAUCUGGCAGCUUAACUGUCAGUACGCUAGGGAAACUACUUUACUAGAGGGCGGGAAAGGUCUGGGGUACUUCAGGGGUAGGGGUGGAAUCCUAUAAUCCUUGGGGGACCACCAGUGGCGAAAGCGCCAGACUGGAACGCGCCUGACGGUGAGGGACGAAAGCCAGGGGAGCAAACC